rnacentral:rRNA from 1 species
AGAAUCAACGCUGGCGGCGUGCCUAACACAUGCAAGUCGAACGAGAAAGUGGAGCAAUCCAUGAGUAAAGUGGCGACCGGGUGAGUAACACGUGACUAACCUACCUUCGAGUGGGGGAUAACCUCGGGAAACCGAGGCUAAUACCGCAUAACAUCGCAAGAUCAAAGCAGCAAUGCGCUGGAAGAGGGGGUCGCGGCUGAUUAGCUAGUUGGCGGGGUAAUGGCCCACCAAGGCGAAGAUCGGUAGCCGGCCUGAGAGGGCGCACGGCCACACUGGAACUGAAACACGGUCCAGACUCCUACGGGAGGCAGCAGUGGGGAAUUUUGCGCAAUGGGGGAAACCCUGACGCAGCAACGCCGCGUGGAGGAUGAAGCCCCUUGGGGUGUAAACUCCUUUCGACCAAGACGAUAAUGACGGUACUGGUGGAAGAAGCACCGGCUAACUCUGCGCCAGCAGCCGC